rnacentral:misc_RNA from 1 species
ACAACCAUUUCACAUCUUAUGUGGUAUUGGCAGAAGUGGGCAGGGCUAGCAGUGCUUAACCUCACUCUGCUGAAAUGAAUAGGCCGGAAAUGGAGACCAUUGUAACAAACCUUCAGAGUAUCUUAAUCAUACUAAAUUAGUUUGUAGGCUGGUCAGAAUUCAGGCCAUUUGACCCCCAUUCUGUGUAAAGCAGUAA